rnacentral:rRNA from 1 species
UACGUAGGCAGCGAGCGUUGUUCGGAAUUACUGGGCGUAAAGAGUGUGUAGGCGGUGCUCUAAGUUCGGUGUGAAAUCUCCUGCUUAACUGGGAGGGUGCGCCGGAAACUGGAGUGCUCGAACGUGGGAGAGGAAAGCGGAAUUCCUGGUGUAGCGGUGAAAUGCGUAGAUAUCAGGAGGAACACCUGCGGUGUAGACGGCUUUUCUGGACCAUUUGUUGACGCUGAGACACGAAAGCGUGGGGUAGCAAACAGG